rnacentral:lncRNA from 1 species
GAAAGAUAAAAAAGGUGCUCACUAGGUGUACAAAGUGCAACGUCGAAACUUCUAUGCGACGCAUAGUAGAUGUCAAACAUAGCCGUAGAGUGGUAAAGCAAAUGCCGUAGAGUAAUUGGAGAAGAGCAUACUUCGAAAGCGGAGUGGCUACAAUUUAUUCUGGGAAGCUGAGUGGUUGGGAAAUUUAGCCUGCAAUUAAGAACAUGGUUUAGAGAGGAUUCAACGCAACAAAAUGCAACUGAGAAAGAGGAGAGGUCGAAACACAAGAUUUGGAACCAAGGAAAAACGACGAUUGUUGUAGCUUUAGAUAUAACAUUCAUGAUAGACAAGCAUCGGGAGACUAGCAAUGUCCGACGAGCACCAGCCGACGAGCGAUUGGAGCACCUGUGAUGGUUUCAUGAUGGGGAAGGUGAAAGGAAAACAAAAACAAAAACAAAAACCAAAAGGCAUUUAUCUUUUGAGAACUCGCGCUCAGAUUUUGAAAUUGGGGAAAAAGUAAAGUGAGUGGAAAAUCUUGGGAGGGAAAGAAAAAAAAAA